ACCAAAUGUUAGCUGAGGCACUGCACCAUACCACCUAAAACUGCAAACUGUUCCUGCCACACACUGGCGGAGAAUUUCAAAGUUGAACAACUGUCUGAAAGGAUGACUCCUAUUUUUAAAACAGCGAACCCUUAAUUCUGGAAUAAUCCAGAAGAGGUUACAUUUACAAAUUGAGUAUUCUUGGGAAAAAAAACACUGUUGAAGCAUUUCAUCUUGGACGCAAGAAGACAGGUGCAAGAAUGCCACAUUUGAAAGGCAACAACAACAUACA